GGGUUGUGAGGUUAAGCGACCAAGCGUACACGGUGGAUGCCCUGGCAGUCAGAGGCGAUGAAGGACGUGCUAAUCUGCGAUAAGCGCCGGUAAGGUGAUAUGAACCGUUAUAACCGGCGAUUUCCGAAUGGGGAAACCCAGUGUGAUUCGUCACACUAUCAUUACGUGAAUACAUAGCGUAAUGAAGCGAACCGGGGGAACUGAAACAUCUAAGUACCCCGAGGAAAAGAAAUCAACCGAGAUUCCCCCAGUAGCGGCGAGCGAACGGGGAGGAGCCCAGAGCCUGAAUCAGCAUGUGUGUUAGUGGAAGCGUCUGGAAAGGCGCGCGAUACAGGGUGAC
rnacentral:rRNA from 1 species